GUUGUUAGCUGAUAUCCAUGGCAGCUGCAGUGGCAGGUAAUGUCUUACAAUAACAGAAUGCAGGAGAGCACAUAUCAAUGAAGAAAAGACAAAAUGUACUUAUCCAUGAAGCUGAGGUUAAGAAACCAGUGUCUUCAAGAGCCAGGGACAGCACUGGGUCUGUGCAGAGUUGAGAGAUGGUGAUGACAUGUGGUUUCCAGCAUUC
ensembl:lncRNA MAGI2-AS3 MAGI2 antisense RNA 3